rnacentral:tRNA from 1 species
GCCCAGCUAACUCAGUUGGUAGAGCAUGAGACUCUCAAUCUCAGGGUCAUGGGAUUGAGCCCUAUCUUGGGUA